rnacentral:piRNA from 1 species
UCAGCAAAUGACAACCUACUUUCAUCACGAU